AGCGAACGCUGGCGGCAGGCCUAACACAUGCAAGUCGAACGAAGUCUUCGGACUUAGUGGCGGACGGGUGAGUAACACGCGGGAACGUGCCUUUAGGUUCGGAAUAACUCAGGGAAACUUGUGCUAAUACCGAAUGUGCCCUUCGGGGGAAAGAUUUAUCGCCUUUAGAGCGGCCCGCGUCUGAUUAGCUAGUUGGUGAGGUAAAGGCUCACCAAGGCGACGAUCAGUAGCUGGUCUGAGAGGAUGAUCAGCCACAUUGGGACUGAGACACGGCCCAAACUCCUACGGGAGGCAGCAGUGGGGAAUCUUGCGCAAUGGGCGAAAGCCUGACGCAGCCAUGCCGCGUGAAUGAUGAGGGUCUUAGGAUUGUAAAAUUCUUUCACCGGGGACGAUAAUGACGGUACCCGGAGAAGAAGCCCCGGCUAACUUCGUGCCAGCCGCCGCUGUAACAC
rnacentral:rRNA from 1 species